UUGAAAUAAACUGAUAGGUUGUUGCUGGUUCUCUAGGGAACAUGUGCACACUUGUCAUCUUUAUAUCUCCACCUGUGCACCUUUUGUAGACCUGGAUAUCUCUCUGAGUGCUUGCACUCAGGUUUGAGGAUUGACUUUUUUGUCUCUUCUUACAUUUCCAGGUCUAUGUGUCUUCAUAUACUCUAAUGUAUGUUAUAGAAUGUAAUAAAUGGGCCUUUGUGCCUAUAAACCUAUA
rnacentral:misc_RNA from 1 species